rnacentral:rRNA from 1 species
GGAUACCCGAGGGAAACUUCGGUUAAUACGGUAUAAGACCACACUACCGCAUGGUAGAGGGGUAAAAGGAGAAAUCCGGUAUGAGAUGGGCUCGCGUCGCAUUAGCUAGUUGGUGAGGUAACGGCCCACCAAGGCGACGAUGCGUAGCCGACCUGAGAGGGUGAUCGGCCACAUUGGGACUGAGAUACGGCCCAGACUCCUACGGGAGGCAGCAGUGGGGAAUAUUGGGCAAUGGAGGAAACUCUGACCCAGCAAUGCCGCGUGAAUGAAGAAGGUCUUCGGAUUGUAAAGUUCUUUAGUCAGGGAAGAAUAAAAUGACGGUACCUGAAGAAUAAGCUCCGGCUAACUACGUGCCAGCAGCCGCGGUAAUACGUAGGGAGCAAGCGUUGUUCGGAAUGACUGGGCGUAAAGGGUGCGUAGGCGGUUAUACAAGUUAGAAGUGAAAUACCCAGGGCUUAACUCGGGUGCUGCUUCUAAAACUGUAAGACUUGAGUGCAGUAGAGGUUAGUGGAAUUCCUAGUGUAGCGGUGGAAUGCGUAGAUAUUAGGAGGAACACCAGAGGCGAAGGCGGCUAACUGGACUGCAACUGACGCUGAGGCACGAAAGUGUGGGGAGCAAACAGGAUUAGAUACCCUGGUAGUCCACACUGUAAACGAUGGAUACUAGAUGUAGGAGGUAUCGACUCCUUCUGC